CGACCCACAACCCGCAGCAGGGGCAAAAAAGUCGGCCAUAGUGCCCCGGGAGUUCUGUGCGGAAGGGCUGGCGCUAAAC
rnacentral:rRNA from 1 species